GUAGUUUGUGCACAGUCUACAUCAACCCUUCAACACGCACAGAUUAAUGCAGAGUUUCUGCGGGUUACUGCAGUUCCCCUGCUAACCAGAUUCAUGGCCCAGCUGGACAAGCACUCCCCACAGCUACUUAAAAUAAUCAGAAAGAAAGGAGGGACAACCAAAGCAAAAACUGCCAUAAUCCUAGAGUUUCUUGAUCAGGAUGCUGAUGCUGACAUUAGGAGGGAGUGUAUACUUAAAUCUCUCAUUAUCUACCUUGGAGAACGUGUUGAGGACUUGAUAAAAGAAUACAU